GAUGAACGCUAGCGGCAGGCUUAAUACAUGCAAGUCGAGGGGCAGCAGUUUUGUAGCAAUACAGAAGCUGGCGACCGGCAAACGGGUGCGGAACACGUACGCAACCUUCCUCUAACUGGAAGAUAGCCCACCGAAAGGUGGAUUAAUAUUCCAUAGUAUAUUGAAAAGGCAUCUUUUUGAUAUUAAAGCUCCGGCGGUUAGAGAUGGGCGUGCGUCUGAUUAGGUAGUUGGCGGGGUAACGGCCCACCAAGCCUACGAUCAGUAGCUGAUGUGAGAGCAUGAUCAGCCACACGGGCACUGAGACACGGGCCCGACUCCUACGGGAGGCAGCAGUAAGGAAUAUUGGUCAAUGGACGCAAGUCUGAACCAGCCAUGCCGCGUGGAGGAUGAAGGCCCUCUGGGUUGUAAACUUCUUUUCUUUGGGACGAAACCCCUGUUUCUACGGGGACUGACGGUACCAGAGGAAUAAGCACCGGCUAACUCCGUGCCAGCCGCCGCGGUAAGAC
rnacentral:rRNA from 1 species